GAUGAACGCUGGCGGCGUGCUUAACACAUGCAAGUCGAACGGUGAACACGGAGCUUGCUCUGUGGGAUCAGUGGCGAACGGGUGAGUAACACGUGAGCAACCUGCCCCUGACUCUUGGAUAAGCGCUGGAAACGGCGUCUAAUACUGGAUAUGUGACGUGACCGCAUGGUCUGCGUUUGGAAAGAUUUUUCGGUUGGGGAUGGGCUCGCGGCCUAUCAGCUUGUUGGUGAGGUAAUGGCUCACCAAGGCGUCGACGGGUAGCCGGCCUGAGAGGGUGACCGGCCACACUGGGACUGAGACACGGCCCAGACUCCUACGGGAGGCAGCAGUGGGGAAUAUUGCACAAUGGGCGCAAGCCUGAUGCAGCAACGCCGCGUGAGGGAUGACGGCCUUCGGGUUGUAAACCUCUUUUAGCAGGGAAGAAGCGAAAGUGACGGUACCUGCAGAAAAAGCGCCGGCUAACUACGUG
rnacentral:rRNA from 1 species